UACGGAGGGUGCAAGCGUUAUCCGGAUUUACUGGGUUUAAAGGGUGCGCAGGCGGAUAUGUAAGUCAGUGGUGAAAUCUCUAGGCUUAAACCUGGAAAUUGCCGUUGAUACUAUAUAUCUUGAAUGCUGUGGAGGUAAGCGGAAUAUGUCAUGUAGCGGUGAAAUGCUUAGAUAUGACAUAGAACACCUAUUGCGAAGGCAGCUUACUACGCAGAUAUUGACGCUCAUGCACGAAAGCGUGGGGAUCAAACAGG
rnacentral:rRNA from 1 species